rnacentral:rRNA from 1 species
GACGAACGCUGGCGGCGUGCCUAACACAUGCAAGUCGAGCGAACAGACCAGGAGCUUGCUCCUCUGACGGUAGAGGCGGACGGGACAGUAACAUGUGGAUAACAUACCUAUGGGACAGGGAUAACUACGGGAAACCGGAGCUAAUACCGGAUAAUAUAUUGAACCGCGUGGUUCAAUAGUGCAAGACGGUUUUGCUGUCCCUUAUAGCUGGCUCCGCGCUGCAUUAGCAAGUUGGUAAGGUAACGGCUUACCAAGGCAACGAUGGGUAGCCGACCUGAGAGCGUGUACGGCCACACGGGAAGUGAGCCACGGCCCAGACACUGAGGGGAGGCAGCAGCAGGGAAUCUUCCGCAAUGGGGGAAAGCCUGACCGAGCAACGCCGGGUGAAUGAUGAAGGUCUGCGGACCGGAAAACGCUGUUAGUGUUGAAGAACAAAUGUGUAAGUAACUAUGCACGUCUUGACGGUACCUGAAGAAGAAGCCCCGGCUAACUACGUG